CCACGGAAUCUGGGCUGCCUCUAGAAGCUGGAAAACGGAAGCAACAGAUGCUCCCCGGCAGCCUUCUGAAAGAACACAGCCCUGCUGACACCUUAACUUUAGUCCAAAAGCACAAGCAAGAAUGUGUGAGAAGAUCACAGAGACCUAAAGAAGGGGAAGGGAAGAACCCACAUGUGAGAGAGAAGAGAUUGUCUGACUUGGUGUUGCGCCUUAAAGCACUAUCCAAUAAACCUCCUACAUGCAAAUCUCCAUCUCAGAAUCUGUAUCCAAGAGAUUCUACUCAAGACAUCAUCUUUUCCAGUCAGUGUUCCUAAUUGCACUGCCCCUGGAAAACGCACGGAGAAGAAAUACAGCAAAAUACAUGAGAUGGUGAAACACUCUGGCAACUGCAAGCGGACAGAUGGGAUCUGGGAGGUAAUGCAGGGUCACAGGGCAGUUACACCAGGAUAUUUGGUUCUUUCCUACUCUCCUUUCCCCACCCUCAAUGCUAUAUACAUAACUGCUAGUGAAUCAAUUUAUGUACAUAUCCCAGAUAUCUAGGACUGGUUGAGGCGGGUUAUCCAAGAGAGUCACAGUGUAUUACCAUUUUUUAUUAAGUACAACCAGACCAACAGAGAACUGAUUAACUCAACCACUGAACUUUAUGUUUUCCCCCAUCAUCUAUAGAAUUGAUUUUACUGGAUUUUGACAUGUCAGUUUAUCACUUACUUUAUCCUUCAGUGAAGGACACACUAAGGAAUGGAGUUAUUAAGCUUGUUCUACUGGCUGUGAGGAUGUUGUUGAGGGACAUUGUUCAUGACGUUAUGUUGUGUCAUUUUUAUGAGGACUCAAUGGAAGGACUUCUGUCUGAUUUCAGUACUGGAAGUAGUCAUACUUCUCCUGAGCAACCAUUUUCUUUCUCCGUUAUAAAAAUCUCAUUGUCUCUGUGAAUCAUGUCACUGAUCAUUUUUCUUAGGACCUUAAGGUGUGUGUGUGUGUGUGUGUGUGUGUGUGUGUGUGAAUAGGAUCAUUCAUUACUCCACCCUAUUUUUCCCUAUACUUACUUUAUACUGUUCCAAGUGUAUUUAUUUUUUUACCCAACAGAAAUUUAUUUCUGGUUCACAUAUUUGCUGAAUGCAGGUAUUUUGCAGGUGACAUUCUGUGAGGUAAUUUGGGGCCCCACAAUCUUUUACCUUUUUUUACAUUUUUAAUUUUUAUGGAUACAUAACUGUUGCACAUAUUUAUAGAGUACAUAUAAUAUUUUGAUACAAUCAUACAAUGGGUCAUGAUCAAGUCAGGGUAAUUGGGACAUCUUCACCUAAAACAUUGAUCAUUUCUUUGUUUUGGGAACAUUCCAAUUCUACUUUUCUAGUUAUUUUGAAAUAUACAAUAAAUUAUUACUAACUAUAGUCACCCUAUUGUGCUAUUGAACCCUAGAUCUUAUUCCUUCUAUCUACUUGUAUUUUUGUAUCCAUGAACCAGCCCGUCUCUAUUGCCCCUCACCACCACCCUUCUCAGACUCUGGCACCAUCAUUGUACUCUUGAUCUCCAUGAAAUCAGCCUUUUUAGCUCGUAUAUAUGAGUGAGAACCUGUGAUAUUUGUCUCCCUGUCUUUCACCUGAUGGAUCUACCAUCCUCUAGGGACUCCCAUCUUCUGCAUGGCAUCAGCACAAGGGUGAAGAGGGAAGAUAAAGGAUCAUGCAGGGAGUUUCAUGGACUAGGCCUGGAAGUGCCAUAUUCCACUGCUGCUUGUGUUCCAGAAGGCAGCCGCACAGCCACAAGGGAUUGUAAAGGAAGCUGAAAAAUAUGAUCGAGCAUUGUGUCUGGGAAGAGAGGGAAAUGGGUAUGGUGCAUGACUAACCAGUGUUUGUCACAGCACAGAAAGUAAGGUAUAAAGGAAACAACUCACUCUGUAUUCCCUAAGACAGUUGUGCUAAUAGCAUUAGCAGAAUUGUUAAUGUUAGCAGAAAUAACAGUUAAUUGUUCAGGUGUAGAACCCCCAGGGUGAGCUGGGAAUUCUCUCUUGAAUGACAGUCUUCCAUUUUGUCUCUUCUUCUUAGUCUUUUCUGCCAUUGCCUUUGUUCAGAUCUUUUCUACCUUGUGUCCAGCUUGCUGGAACCUCCACCUUCCUGGCCUGAAAGAACUAGCUUGUGAACAUGUAUCAUGUUUGCUUUCUUCUGCAAGUUGGCUCAUACAUUUUAUUAUUACCUAAUGCUGCGUAAAAACUCAUUCCAAAACUCAGUGGCUUAAAACAGCAGUAAAUUUUUAUAUCUCUCCUGGUUUCUGUGGGUCAGGAAUUUGGGGAGCAGCUUAGCUGGGUGGUUUUGGUUUGGGGUUUCUCUUGGGGUUGAACUGAGAUAUCUGCUGGGCUCUGCAGUCAUCUGAAAACUUACUGGGGGCUCAAGGUGGUUCACACAUGUGGAUGGCAAGUUGGUACUGGCUGUUGGCAAGAUGUCUCAGUAUCUCUCUAAGCAGGCCUCUCUUCACGGCUGCUUGAGUGACUUCAUGGAAUGGUGGCUGAAUUCUCCCAGAAUAAAUGAUUCAAGAGCCAAGGUAAAGCCAUAUGCCCUUUAUAACCGGGCCUCGGAAAUCCCUCACUGUCACCUCUGCCAUACUCUACUGUUCAUGUGAAUGACCCUGAUUCAGUGUGGGAAGAGACUAUGCAGGGCAUAAUACCAGAAGGCAAAAAUCACUGGGGGCAAUUUGGGAGGCUGGCCACCACACAGACUGCAUUUCAACUAUGCACCUCCCUCAAUCUCAACUUUUUCCAUACUCUCUCACUUUCUCUUCCACUUUCUGUAUUCAGAUCAAAGCCCAUCGCUUCAUGAAGUAUGCCCUGACCACUCAGCAACUAGCACUCCCAUUGCAAUUCAUUGUUCUUGCCACAUAUAUGGUCUUUAUAAUUUAACACCCUGCUUUGAAGAUGUACACGUGUGUCUUUUCUUUCAGAUGGAAUUUAAAGAAUCGUACACUAUACUCCCUGUCAUAUAGUAGGCACUCAAUAAAUAUUUUUUCUACGGAUGAAUGAAUGAGUGAAUGAAGAGUACAAGCCAGAAUCCCUGUGUCCCUACCUGUGGGCUUUUCCCUUGCUGCUUGACCUUAGUGAAGUCACUCCACCUCUCAGUCUGCUAACUCCUUCAUAAAAUGAAGAUAAUUAUACCCACCCCAGCUGUCACAGACAUGCUUUGACAUUUGAAAGAGGCAGCACUUAUAAAAGUGUUUUCGAGUGUAUAAAGAACAGGGCAAGGUGGUGUUAGUUACCUGGUUCACAAGUGAUGGCUGACAUGUAUGGCACUGUCAUGGGAUUCAGAUCAGUCAAUCCCUCUGACUCCCGCCUCAAGAAACAGUUCACACCUACACCAAGCUACACAAAGAGUCUUUGUUCAUUCCAACAGCUGCUCCUUCAGCACGUCAUGGUCACGAUCAGGAGAGGCCCUGGGCAGAGAGAACUGCCUGGUCCGGGUUGCUAGGCCCCUUCACAGUCACACUCUGGAGAUGUCAAAGCCCAAAGGCAAAGUUUAUUUCUCUAGUAGAAUUCUCAGGUUUCCUUUCCCUUCGUACACUCUGGUUUUAUAAUGUUUUUAUUAUAGAUAAUUGUCUAGGGAUAAUUUUUUUUUGCAUCUAACUCUUUUAAAUAAAAAUUAACAUAAAGUAAA